rnacentral:rRNA from 1 species
CAGCAGCCACGGUAAUACGAAGGGGGCUAGCGUUGUUCGGAUUUACUGGGCGUAAAGGGCGCGUAGGCGGACUGAUAAGUCAGGGGUGAAAUCCCAAGGCUCAACCUUGGAACUGCCUUUGAUACUGUUUGUCUUGAGUUCGAGAGAGGUAAGUGGAACUGCGAGUGUAGAGGUGAAAUUCGUAGAUAUUCGCAAGAACACCAGUGGCGAAGGCGGCUUACUGGCUCGAAACUGACGCUGAGGCGCGAAAGCGUGGGGAGCAAACAGGAUUAGAUACCCCAGUAGUCCCUGUCUCUUAUAU